GACGGGGCCCGCACAAGCGGUGGAGCAUGUGGUUUAAUUCGACGCUACGCGAAGAACCUUACCUGGGCUUGAACUGCUGGAGGUAGGAGCCCGAAAGGGUGACGACCCGGAGCAAUCCGGGAACCAGCAGAGGUGCUGCAUGGCUGUCGUCAGCUCGUGUCGUGAGAUGUUGGGUUAAGUCCCGCAACGAGCGCAACCCUUGCCCUUAGUUGCCAGCGGGUAAUGCCGGGCACUCUAAGGGGACUGCCCCGGAUAACGGGGAGGAAGGCGGGGAUGACGUCAAGUCAGCAUGGCCUUUAUGUCCAGGGCUACACACGUGCUACAAUGGGCGGUACAGAGGGAAGCAAAGCCGCGAGGUGGAGCUAAUCCUUAAAGUCGUCCUCAGUUCGGAUUGCAGGCUGCAACUCGCCUGCAUGAAGCUGGAAUUGCUAGUAAUCGCAGAUCAGCUACGCCGCGGUGAAUACGUUCUCGGGCCUU
rnacentral:rRNA from 1 species